GACGAACGCUGGCGGCGUGCUUAACACAUGCAAGUCGAACGAAGUGGCGAACGGGUGAGUAACGCGUAAUCAACCUGCCCUUCAGAGGGGGACAACAGUUGGAAACGACUGCUAAUACCGCAUACUGAAGGAGGGGAUGGCGUCGGAUUAGCUAGUUGGAGGGGUAACGGCCCACCAAGGCGAUGAUCAGUAGCCGGUCUGGAGGGAUGGACGGCCACCUUGGGACUGGGGCACGGCCCAGACUCCUACGGGAGGCAGCAGUUGGGAAUCUUCCGCAAUGGACGAAAGUCUUACGGAGCAACGCCGCGUGAGUGAUGGCGGCCUUCGGGUUGUAAAACUCUGUUAAUCGGGACGCGGUACCGAAAUAGAAAGCCACGGCUAACUACGUGCCAGCAGCCGCGGUAAUAC
rnacentral:rRNA from 1 species